GUGCCAUCAGUGCCCGCACUUGCUCAGGCGAGUACUGUUGCAGAGACACACCCUAGGCCUACUCCCAGCGGGUUCCCACAGGGUCAGGGAGUCCACAGAUCUCCAUAUGGAGUGCAGUAUCUGUAGACUGCUGCUUGAGGAUACAGAUUGACCCCACCCCCUUCCACUCUGGACACAGCCACGGUUGAUGGUUCUUUUGAGAUACUCAUUGGAAAAACUGGAGUUCAUGGCUUCUACGAAGGAAAAACCAUUGCCAAAAAGCAAAAAAAUGUCAAACAUGUAGAUGUCUAAAGAAGAGAGAAUAGCUAUCCACAAAGAACCAUCAUACAAAGAAAAAUCUGAUAAAGAAGAUGGGGCCCCACUUCAUCGAUUCCACUUGAUUCAACUUGAUGCCUCUGAACUAACAAACACCACCCUAAAACCAGUUUGGGACUAUAAGGCUUGAAACAACUCCAGACUAACUAGCUGAAACAGUACACCUUCUUAUUACACUCUGGCCAGAGUUUCAGAUAAGAACUUCAGUCAAGCA
rnacentral:lncRNA from 1 species